GAGAGAAGCAGCAAAACUGCAAGCUGCACAGAAAAAUAUAAGAGAUGGACAGCGCAGGGAGAGACUGGCGGGGAAGCACAGCAAUACAAAAGAAAAGCUCCAGAGAGCAAGGCAGCAAGAAAAUUAGAGGCUUCACUCCAUUUCUCUCGGUUAAAUCUUUCCAAACUUAUAUUUUAUUUCUGUUUUAAUAAUGUGUAACUAAUUUUAUUUUGGCUAGAGGUUAUUUCAAAACCAUGAAUAUAUUUGUAAUAUGAAUUGAUUACCUUCGGUUGUGAUUUCAUAAGUUGUGAAUUCAAUUUACUUAUCCGUUUGUAUAAAAACUGAUUUGUGUAUGUUGGUUGAGAGUGCACGCUUAAUUUACAUGCAUGAAUUUGAUGCUAGAAUAUAAGUGAAUUUCACCUAAUCGUUAUGAACUUAUAUUCACAAGUAGUAAAGGUUGCUAGUCACAAUCACGUUAAGUAAAUUCUUGGCAUAAGUUUCAUGCAAAUCAUAGUAACGAGUGCCUCGUCAAUGCUUAUGUUUUUCAUAGAACUUAAUGAUUCUUGCUUGUAUCUCUAUUAUGCAAUUCAUGUAGAGAACUUGUAGGGAAUGUUUUGGGUUGUCGUAUGCAAUCAUCCAACCCAAUAACUUGUGGAAAAAACUGAGGGUUAAUUAGUGCAAUUCACGGUUAAUUUGGGGCGUUGAGAUUUUACAAUUUUAUUGAAAGAACAACUGAAAAUCAAUUUAGGUUGCAUAUGUGUCAUGUGUGGAGAAAAACCCUCUAGCUAGUCCGUCAUUUAUCAUUUCACCUUAAUUUCAUGUUUUUGUCAAUUCUGUAAUUUAAUUAAGUUUAAUUUACUUUUCAUCAAAACCAAACACCCAUCCAUUAUUAAAUUAUAUUUUUUAGUUAGUUUUCUUUAUUGUUAGUCUUUUAAUUUAAUUUCCGUCCAUUUCAGUUCCUAGUGUUUAAUUUAAUUGUUUUCAUUAUUUUGAGUCAUUUUAAGUGUGUUUCGAGUUAUUAGAGUUUUUAGCCUAAUUUUGUGUCCUUGAGUCUUAUUUAAUAUUUUUAAAUUAAUUUAGAAUAGAUUAGCAAUCCCUCCUAAUCCCCGGCCUAGAACGAUACCCUACUUACAUCUAUACUACAAUUGUUCAAAAGAGGGUUUAAUUUUGUGUGUUAACUUAUUUUUCACAUCAAAUUUUGGCGCCGUUGCCGGGGAUAUGAGAGAAGCAGCAAAACUGCAAGCUGCACAGAAAAAUAUAAGAGAUGGACAGCGCAGGGAGAGACUGGCGGGGAAGCACAGCAAUACAAAAGAAAAGCUCCAGAGAGCAAGGCAGCAAGAAAAUUAGAGGCUUCACUCCAUUUCUCUCGGUUAAAUCUUUCCAAACUUAUAUUUUAUUUCUGUUUUAAUAAUGUGUAACUAAUUUUAUUUUGGCUAGAGGUUAUUUCAAAACCAUGAAUAUAUUUGUAAUAUGAAUUGAUUACCUUCGGUUGUGAUUUCAUAAGUUGUGAAUUCAAUUUACUUAUCCGUUUGUAUAAAAACUGAUUUGUGUAUGUUGGUUGAGAGUGCACGCUUAAUUUACAUGCAUGAAUUUGAUGCUAGAAUAUAAGUGAAUUUCACCUAAUCGUUAUGAACUUAUAUUCACAAGUAGUAAAGGUUGCUAGUCACAAUCACGUUAAGUAAAUUCUUGGCAUAAGUUUCAUGCAAAUCAUAGUAACGAGUG
rnacentral:lncRNA from 1 species